AGAGAGAGAGGAAGAGAGGAAGAAGAAGAAGAAGAAGGAAAAGAAGAGAGGAGAGCUUGGAGGUUCUUGGUUGUCUAGGUUGUUAAUCAUCUAGGUAAAGAGCCGGUCUUUCGGGAGGUGCCGAAAUCUUAGUUUGGCAUACUUUGGUCGAAACGAAGGUCACAGGUGGCCGUAGAGUUGGUCCACUACCGGUCAACGUUUUGGGGACACUUGGAUUAAUAUCGA